rnacentral:siRNA from 1 species
AAGAAAGUCUAUUGAAAAGUGUA